CUACAUACACUCUCUGGCAGAUAUAGUCAUUCUUAAUCUUAUCCAUUAUCAUGCUACCAAACAAGUAGACAACAAAAACCAAAAACAAUGGUAAUAUCAAACAGCCCCUUUAGUUUUAUUUGUCAAUUGGUAUAAUUAUUAUGCACUUGCAGCCUCUGGUCUAAUAGUCUUCAGCUUAGGUGGCAACGAAUUGAGCUUGGACAGGUUUUAGUUCUGAAUCCACUGCUCAAAAUUAAUUGCUGUGACAUCCAGACUUGUCUUUUCCUCUGCCCUAGUAGAGGAUGAGGGUUCAAUCAUCCAAAGCACUACUGGAGUAAGCUUAUUGGAACUUGG
rnacentral:misc_RNA from 1 species